rnacentral:rRNA from 1 species
AUGCAAGUCGAGCGAGAACCCAGGCUUCGGCCUGGGGGAAAGCGGCGAACGGGUGAGUAUCACGUGGGUAAUCUGCCCUCGACAUCGGGAUAGCCCGGGGAAACCCGGAUUAAUACCGAAUGGCCCAUCUGCUCUUCGGAGCGGCUGGAAAAGGUAGCUUCGGCCUCCGGUCGAGGAGGAGCCCGCGGCGGAUUAGCUUGUUGGUGAGGUAACGGCUCACCAAGGCUCCGAUCCGUAGCUGGUCUGAGAGGACGAUCAGCCACACUGGGACUGAGACACGGCCCAGACUCCUACGGGAGGCAGCAGUGGGGAAUCUUGCGCAAUGGGCGAAAGCCUGACGCAGCGACGCCGCGUGAGGGAAGAAGGCCUUCGGGUUGUAAACCUCUUUCAGGAGGGACGAAGCCACUCGGGUUAAUAGCCCAGAGGGUGACGGUACCUCCAGAAGAAGCCCCGGCUAACUACGUGCCAGCAGCCGCGGUAAUACGUAGGGGGCUAGCGUUGUCCGGAUUUAUUGGGCGUAAAGAGCGUGUAGGCGGCCAGGUNGGUCUGCUGUGAAAACUCGAGGCUCAACCUCGAGACGU